rnacentral:rRNA from 1 species
AUUAGUUUUUUAAUUGAAGGCUAGAAUGAAUGGUUGGACAAGAAAUAAUCUGUCUUAAAUUAAUAUAUUGAAUUUAACUUUUAAGUGAAAAGGCUUAAAUAAUCUGAAGGGACGAUAAGACCCUAUAAAACUUUAUAUUUAAGAAUGAUUAAUGAGUUUUGUUUNUAAGGUUAUUAUUUUUGAGAUAUUUGGUUGGGGCGACAAGAAUAGAAGAAAAAGUAACUGUUUUUUUUUAUAACAAAAAUGUUUGGGUUAAUGAUCCUAAAAUGGAUUNAAAGAUUAAGUUACUUUAGGGAUAACAGCGUAAUUUUCUUUAAGAGUUCUUAUCAAUAAGAAAGUUUGCGACCUCGAUGUUGAAUUAAAGGUUCUUUAUGGAGUAGAGACUAUAAUAGAAGGUCUGUUCGACCUUUAAAACUUUACAUGA